rnacentral:rRNA from 1 species
CCCUUAGAUGUUCUGGGCCGCACGCGCGCUACACUGACGAAGUCAGCGAGCAUGUCCUACGCCGACAGGUGCGGGGAAUCUUGUCAAACUUCGUCGUGAUGGGGAUUGAUUUUUGAAAUUCUUGAUCAUAAACGAGGAAUUCCUAGUAAGCGCAAGUCAGCAGCUUGCGUUGAUUACGUCCCUGCCCUUUGUACACACCGCCCGUCGCUACUACCGAUUGAAUGGUUUAGUGAGAUCUUCGGAUUGGCGCCACUGCAGCUCAGCAAUGGGCUUGGUGGAUGCCGAAAAGUUGAUCGAACUUGAUCAUUUAGAGGAAGUAAAAGUCGUAACA